CGAAAGCCUGACGGAGCAAUACCGCGUGCGGGAGGAAGGCCCUUGGGUCGUAAACCGCUUUUCUUAGGGAAGAAACCUGACGGUACCUAAGGAAUAAGCCUCGGCUAACUCCGUGCCAGCAGCCGCGGUAAUACGGAGGAGGCAAGCGUUAUCCGGAAUUAUUGGGCGUAAAGCGUCCGCAGGUGGCAGUUCAAGUCUGCUGUCAAAGACCGGGGCUUAACUUCGGAAAGGCAGUGGAAACUGAACAGCUAGAGUAUGGUAGGGGCAGAGGGAAUUCCUGGUGUAGCGGUGAAAUGCGUAGAGAUCAGGAAGAACAUCGGUGGCGAAGGCGCUCUGCUGGACCAUAACUGACACUCAGGGACGAAAGCUAGGGGAGCG
rnacentral:rRNA from 1 species